rnacentral:rRNA from 1 species
GACGAACGCUGGCGGCGUGCUUAACACAUGCAAGUCGAACGAAGUGGGAACGGGUGAGUAAUACGUGAGUAACCUCCCUCCUUUUUGGGAUAAGCCUUGGAAACGGGGUCUAAACCGAAUAGAUGGGCUCGCGGCCUAUCAGCUUGUUGGUGGGGGGAUGGCCUACCAAGGCGGUGACGGGUAGCCGGCCUGAGAGGGUGACCGGCCACAUUGGGAAUUAUACACGGGUCCGACGCCUACGGGGGGCAGCAGUGGGGAAUCUUCCGCAAUGGAGGAAAGUCUGACUGAGCAACGCCGCGGGGGUGAUGACGGCCUUCGGGUUGGAAAGCUCUGUUAAGCGGGACGCGGUACCGGAAUAGAAAGCCACGGCUAACUACGUGCCAGCAGCCGCGGUAAUUC